rnacentral:rRNA from 1 species
AGAGUUUGAGUCCUGGCGUCAGGAUGAACGCUAGCGGCAGGCCUAAUACAUGCAAGUCGGACGGUAAGCGGCCCCUUCGGGGGCACGAGAGUGGCGGACGGGUGCGCAACGCGUAUGCAACCCACCCCGUCCCGGCGGAUAGCCGGUGGAAACGCCGGAUAAUCCGCCAUGCGCCGCGGGGGGCAUCCCCUACGUGGCAAAGCCUUAUGGCGGGACGGGACGGGCAUGCGUCCCAUUAGCUUGUUGGCGGGGCGACGGGCCCACCCAAGGCUACGAUGGGUAGGGGAUCUGAGAGACGGUCCCCCACACUGGUACUGAGACACGGACCAGACUCCUGCGGGAGGCAGCAGUAAGGGAUAUUGGGCAAUGGGGGAACCCUGACCCAGCCAUGCCGCGUGAGGGAAUGAGGCCCUACGGGUCGUGAACCUCUUUUAUACGGGGACAAGGACGGCGUCGGGAACGCCGUUUGAGGGUACCGUAGGAAUAAGCGUCGGCUAACUCCGUGCC